CUGUCAAACUUCAUGCCGAAAGGAGAGUCCGAGGCUCAGGCUUCAACACAGGUCUGGGAGAUCCCUACUGAGACUGCAGAGUAAUAUUUUUCUAGCCUGGCACAGACCUCUCCCAAAACCAGCCGCAGCAUGUAGCCAACUGGCAUUUUUAAGUCUGGCAGGUUCUAAACACCUCAGGGUCUGCAGGACAUCACAUGAGGGGAUCCAGUAACAGUAAUCCAGAGGCAACGGCAGCACUGGCAGGACUUAAUGGGAAACACCACCAACUCCAGAUCUCUACAAGGUUAUCACUCUAAGAAAACAGCUUCAGAGAACUGAAGUCACCAGUACAUUAGCCCACUCAUCUGGGUACAAAGCUGUCUGUGCAGUGGAUGAAAGCAGGUCUUCAGACUCAGAACUAUUCAGAGAAGUUGUCCUUAAGGGCUCUAUUUCAGGAAAAAAGAGGCAUUAUCUAGAAAGGUCAGUGGUUGAAGACACAUGAGCUGAGCUGCAUAACAAUCACAGUAGCACACAUGCGGGUGACCAGGGAAAUAUACA
rnacentral:lncRNA from 1 species